rnacentral:rRNA from 1 species
AGAACGAACGCUGGCGGCAGGCCUAACACAUGCAAGUCGGACGGUAGCACAGGGGAGCUUGCUCUCCGGGUGACGAGUGGCGGACGGGUGAGUAAUGUCUGGGAAACUGCCCGGUGGAGGGGGAUAACUACUGGAAACGGUAGCUAAUACCGCAUAACGUCUUCGGACCAAAGUGGGGGAUCUUCGGACCUCACGCCACCGGAUGUGCCCAGAUGGGAUUAGCUGGUAGGUGGGGUAACGGCUCACCUAGGCGACGAUCCCUAGCUGGUCUGAGAGGAUGACCAGCCACACUGGAACUGAGACACGGUCC